UACGGAGGGUGCAAGCGUUAUCCGGAUUUACUGGGUUUAAAGGGUGCGUAGGUGGGUAAGUAAGUCAGUGGUGAAAUCUUCGAGCUUAACUCGGAAACUGCCGUUGAUACUAUUUAUCUUGAAUACUUUGGAGGUAAGCGGAAUAUGUCAUGUAGCGGUGAAAUGCUUAGAUAUGACAUAGAACACCAAUUGCGAAGGCAGCUUACUACACAGUUAUUGACACUGAGGCACGAAAGCGUGGGGAUCAAACAGG
rnacentral:rRNA from 1 species